CCCAUCGCGCCUGGGGAGGUAGGUCCCGACGGCCCUCGGAGACAGCCACCUUUCGCGCCCUCCUUGCCGACACUAUGCUCCAGUUCUUGCUUGGAUUUACUCUCGGCAACGUGGUGGGAAUGUAUCUGGCUCAAAACUAUGACAUACCAAACCUGGCUAAAAAACUUGAAGAAAUUAAAAAAGACGUGGAUGCUAAGAAGAAACCCCCUAGUUGCUGAAGCCAACUCCAGCACUGCCUUCUGGAUAAACUGUCUACUGUUCUGCAGGGCCUCCAUUACUGUCUGAACCAAAAGCUUUUGUUUUAAUCUCCAGCCUCGGCAGUUUUCGUUUUCGCUAGACCUUGCAUUGCCUUACAGCACAAAAGGGACCAGAAAUUAAGAACAACCCUUAUUUCUCCAACAUCCUCACAUCCCCCCUUCCAGCCUCUUGGGAGGUCCUGAGAAUGGAAUCAUGGUGCUCGAUUAGUUAUCAUACCUUUAGUUAGUAGUCUCUCCCUUAUUCUAUGAGAUUUCUACUACCUUUUUCAAAAGAAAAAUGGAUGAAUUUUGUGUAGUUGAUGAGAUCCAAAUAAUGUGUGUUUCAGAGUCUGGUAUUUAUAAUGGGUUUUUAAACGUUUGGUACUAAAUUAUGUUGUUUCACAGUAGUAAUUAAAAUGAAAAUCUGGAAGCUAAUUUCUGUGAAUUAUCUACUGAUUUUAUAUCAUCAGGAAGCGCCAUAGUUGCUAAUUUCACCAAUAAAUCAAUUUACUAUUCAUUAACCAAGAAACUGUUUUGAGAACCCUAUCAGGAAUUGGGGAAUUUAAAAGUAUUUAAAAUAAUGGUCUUUGUCUUCAGUAGAUUUCAUAAUCUAGUGUACCUGCUUUUUCUAGAUGUGUUUGAUCUGGCUCUUUUCAUUCAUGAGAAUCAUAGUUAAUGGGAUUACAGAUACCUUUGACAUUACAUGGUAGAUCUAUGAGAAAUUGUUUAUAAAGGAAAUUUUCUGCAUUUUUGCAUUAAAAAAGGAUGUACAUUAUAACUUUAGAGUGAUUCUCAUAAGACUUUGUGUUUUUCUCCUGCAAUCAGAAACUACUCUUGUAAUUUUUCAAAUGCAUACUCAGUCCAUAAAAUUUUUCAGAUGUAAAAAAAAAGUUUAAAUACAUAACUUUCCUCUGGGUCAAUACAAAAAUCAUUUGUAUUAUUCUCCAACUCCUGGUUCCUCUCACUGGAGUCAGACAUUGUUGGUAGUUUCCUGUAUCCUUUUGAGAAAGAUUUUGUGCCUAAAUACACACACAUACAUGGGGGUUUUUAUACAAAUGAUAACAAACUGUAUACAGAGUCUUCCCCGGUGGGGAUCAUUACAUAGCAGUAUGGAAGGAACAAAGAACUGUUUUCAUUUUUUGGCUGCAUAAGGUUGUACUGAAUGAAUAUACUAUAAAAUGCAUUUAAUCUGCUCCUGAGGAACGCUUAGGUUUUUUCCCUGUCUUGCUACUACAGUGGUAACGUAAAACUUGAUGUUAUUAUACUUGUCAGUGCAGAGGGAUAGCUCCAUCCUGAAGUCCUAUAAGGUUAAUUUGCACUAAAUAUAAAUAAAGUCGCAUCUCAUUGGGCGUUUUGUUUUAGAGAGCUUGUUGGGCAGCUUUGCUGAUAAUGCCAUUUCUGAAGACAUUUUAGCAGAAUCAGUAACCUGAAAGAAUGGCUUAGAGACCUUUCAUUCAGACAGUGAUGCCACUGAUACUGUGAUGAUAAAGUGAUUCUACUUCUCUUGAAAAACAUGGAUCUUUCAUACAUGGAGAUGAGUUUUGUCCCUGUCGAGUUGUACUGGUAUGUGAGACAGAUUAGACCAUAUUAUGGACUGGCUUCUACCUUGAAGUGUGAUCAGGGGCAAGCAGCUUAUUUUUCUGAAACUGUUGUAUUCUCUGUACCUACCUCAGAGGGCUUCCAUGAGAAACAGCUGAAAUGAUGUGUGUGGUGUGUAGCACAGUGCUUUGCAGAUUAUCCAAUAAAUAGUAGAUACUAGUCCA